rnacentral:rRNA from 1 species
GACGAACGCUGGCGGCGGGCUUAACACAUGCAAGUCGAACGGAAAGGCCCUGCUUUUGUGGGGUGCUCGAGUGGCGAACGGGUGAGUAACACGUGAGUAACCUGCCCCUGACUUUGGGGUAACUUCAGGAAACUAGGGCUAAUACCGGCUCGGAGCUCCUGCUGCAUGGUGGGGGUGGGAAAGUUUCGGCGGGUGGGGAUGGACUCGCGGCUUAUCAGCUUGUUGGUGGGGUAGUGGCUGACCCAGGCUUUGACGGGUAGCCGGCCUGAGAGGGUGACCGGCGACAUGGGGCCUGAGAUACGGACCAGACUGCUACGGGAGGCAGCAGGGGGGAACAUUGCACAAUGGGGGGAAGCCUGAUGCAGCAACGUCGCGUGCGGGAUGACGGCCUUCGGGUUGUGAACCGCUUUCGCCUGUGACGAAGCGUGAGUGACGGUAAUGGGUAAAGAAGCACCGGCUAACUACGUG